rnacentral:rRNA from 1 species
UGGGGGAUAUUGCACAAUGGGCGAAAGCCUGAUGCAGCGACGCCGCGUGGGGGAUGAAGGCUUUCGGGUUGUAAACCUCUUUCGCUAUCGAACAAGGCCCGCUUAGGGUGGGUUGAGGGUAGGUGGAGAAGAAGCGCCGGCUAACUACGUGCCAGCAGCCGCGGUAAUACGUAGGGCGCGAGCGUUGUCCGGAAUUAUUGGGCGUAAAGGGCUUGUACGCGGCUUGUUGCGCCUGCUGUGAAAACGCGGGGCUUAACUUCGCGCGUGCAGUGGGUACGGGCAGGCUUGAGUGUGGUAGUGGUGACUGGAAUUCCAGGUGUAGCGGUGGAAUGCGCAGAUAUCGGGAGGAGCACCGAUGGCGAAGGCAGGUCACUGGGCCAUGACUGACGCUGAGGAGCGAAAGCAUGAGUAGCGAACAGG